GCCUGAAAGCCGAGUUUGGUUUCAAGCCAACCUGGACAACUGCUGUAUGAGGCGUUGUUUCUCAGGAGGAUCAGUGGGAAGGCGUCAGGUCAUGCAGAUUAUAGCAUCAAUUUCACGAUGCCCAGCCUUGGUGCCCUCUAUCAAGAGCAAGCCACUUGCGUUCGCCUUCAGGCAGAUGAUUGAUGACUUUUAGGAAGCAGUUGGGAAGACAACAUUGAUGCAAGAUUCCAGCAAUGCCAUGCGCUGCAUUUAUUGGUCAAGAUGCUCAGAGAAUGGAGUCCCUGCACCUCGGGGUUAAACGUGAACAUCUUUUUUUCUUUUGGAAAGCUAAACGUCAUUUGCUGUAUCAAUUGCAUUCUUGCAGCUUAGACGUGUACUAUAUUUUUUCUAAUUUUGAAUCAAUUAAUAUUCACUGUUCAGUAUAAAAAUGACGUACAGUGUGAAGGACAAGGACUGCGAGAGAUGACAUACACUGCGCUGACUUCCAACAAUAUUUUAUUGCGUUGCCACAUCGUGUGUUUAUACACAAGAAGGGUCAUGCGCAGAAAAUGAAAGGCAGUCACAAGGGGUGUUCUAACAGCAAGUCAUUGUACUAAGAACAUGGUCACUUAAAAAAAAAUCACAAUUUCUAUCUGUGGAGAUACAAGACUUCACUAGGGGUCAGCGUGAUAGAGGGGGCACUAACGCACACACUACCCAUUUUUCUGGUGAAAUAAGCUUCAAUAAUGUACCGGGUGAGCUGUGUCUCGCCAGAACUUGCGUAUCUUCAAAGAGGGGCAUGUAGCGGCAGUCCCGGCAAUGAAUGCCCAAGUGGCCUUGAACAGUGUUAUGGACGUUGUAGUGCACUCUUAAACGAUCAUUUAGGCACCUGCCUGUCCGUACAACGUA